rnacentral:rRNA from 1 species
GCUUAACACAUGCAAGUCGAACGGAAAGGCCCAGCUUGCUGGGUACUCGAGUGGCGAACGGGUGAGUAACACGUGGGUGAUCUGCCCUGGACUCUGGGAUAAGCCUGGGAAACUGGGUCUAAUACCGGAUAUGACCUUACAUCGCAUGGUGUUUGGUGGAAAGCUUUUGCGGUUCAGGAUGGGCCCGCGGCCUAUCAGCUUGUUGGUGGGGUAAUGGCCUACCAAGGCGACGACGGGUAGCCGACCUGAGAGGGUGAUCGGCCACACUGGGACUGAGACACGGCCCAGACUCCUACGGGAGGCAGCAGUGGGGAAUAUUGCACAAUGGGCGCAAGCCUGAUGCAGCGACGCCGCGUGAGGGAUGACGGCCUUCGGGUUGUAAACCUCUUUCACCAGGGACGAAGCGCGAGUGACGGUACCUGGAGAAGAAGCACCGGCCAACUACGUGCCAGCAGCCGCGGUAAUACGUAGGGUGCGAGCGUUGUCCGGAAUUACUGGGCGUAAAGAGCUCGUAGGCGGUUUGUCGCGUCGUCUGUGAAAUUCUGCAACUCAAUUGUAGGCGUGCAGGCGAUACGGGCAGACUUGAGUACUACAGGGGAGACUGGAAUUC